GAGUCAUGACUUUUCUCUCCGUAGUCCUCAGAAAGUCCUCUGAAUUUCUUUUAGUCACUUAUCAUUUUGUGGUAAAGUUAUUUGUGUGCAGCGAGGAAGCGAGUCUUUGCCCUUACAGUGGGCUGGUUUUCCUGGAGAUAAGCACUUGAGGACGGCCAGCUCUCCCCCUAAGAGCAGUCCAGAGGGAAGGGGAAGAUCACUGGAGAAGGAAGAUGCAUGUCCCUGCUAAGGUCCAAGGGAGGUGUUGGAGGGCAAGGAUUGGGACACACCUGCUGGAGGAGGCACAAGGAGAACAGGGAGGGAUCACCGAGACCCAUUGACAUCUGGGAGCAGCUUGCCAUGGUCACAUUCUCUCCACUGGAUCCUCUGCUCCUCAGCACUUCACUAGUGAUGAACAGAAGAAAAAACUACUGGGCUAGCCAAUGGGAAGCCACCUCUGCAAGCAGUCUCAAGGCAGAUUGGAGAACCCGGCUAACAUCAAGAACAGUAUGGAAUUUCCCCCCUAUGUCCUGACUUCCCUCCCUCUCUGGACACUGACCUUUCAACAGGCUGUGAGUAGAAAAGCAGACAGAGGAUUCUUGUUAGCUCUUCAUGGAAGCCUACCUGAACCAUGUCUGGAAACUUCCGAGAUUGGGGCAUUAAGGGUAGCCUUGGGGAAAGCCACAGUUGUUUUAUUAUAUUUGAGUUAUUAUUUCUGCUUCUAUGGUCAUAAGUAAAGAGCUAUCCAGUAUAGUCAAACUACACUUGUGUGUUCACUCCAGGAGCACAACGCUAGGGUCUGAAAUCCC